GCCAGUGAUAAACUGGAGGAAGGUGGGGAUGACGUCAAGUCAUCAUGGCCCUUACGACCAGGGCUACACACGUGCUACAAUGGCGCAUACAAAGAGAAGCGACCUCGCGAGAGCAAGCGGACCUCAUAAAGUGCGUCGUAGUCCGGAUUGGAGUCUGCAACUCGACUCCAUGAAGUCGGAAUCGCUAGUAAUCGUGGAUCAGAAUGCCACGGUGAAUACGUUCCCGGGCCUUGUACACACCGCCCGUCACACCAUGGGAGUGGGUUGCAAAAGAAGUAGGUAGCUUAACCUUCGGGAGGGCGCUUACCACUUUGUGAUUCAUGACUGGGGUGAAGUCGUAACAAGGUAACCGUAGGGGAACCUGC
rnacentral:rRNA from 2 species